AACGAACGCUGGCGGCAUGCCUAACACAUGCAAGUCGAACGCGACCUUCGGGUCUAGUGGCGCACGGGUGCGUAACGCGUGGGAACCUGCCCGUAGGUUCGGAAUAACUCCCCGAAAGGGGUGCUAAUACCGGAUAAUGUCUUCGGACCAAAGAUUUAUCGGCUUUGGAUGGGCCCGCGUUGGAUUAGCUAGUUGGUAGGGUAAAAGCCUACCAAGGCGACGAUCCAUAGCUGGUCUGAGAGGAUGAUCAGCCACACUGGGACUGAGACACGGCCCAGACUCCUACGGGAGGCAGCAGUGGGGAAUAUUGGACAAUGGGCGAAAGCCUGAUCCAGCAAUGCCGCGUGAGUGAUGAAGGCCUUAGGGUUGUAAAGCUCUUUUACCCGGGAUGAUAAUGACAGUACCGGGAGAAUAAGCUCCGGCUAACUCCGUG
rnacentral:rRNA from 1 species